UACGUAGGUGACCAGCGUUGUCCGGAUUUACUGGGCGUAAAGAGCGCGCAGGCGGUCGUUCAAGUCGAGUGUGAAAGCCCCCGGCUCAACUGGGGAGGGUCAUUCGAUACUGAUCGACUUGAAGGCAGGAGAGGGAAGCGGAAUUCCCGGUGUAGUGGUGAAAUGCGUAGAUAUCGGGAGGAACACCAGUGGCGAAGGCGGCUUCCUGGCCUGUUCUUGACGCUGAGGCGCGAAAGCUAGGGGAGCAAACGGGG
rnacentral:rRNA from 1 species